CACAGCUAAGAUCAACAGAGGCACUCAAGCUGGAGAUGCCUCAAUAUAAACAAGAGGUGCUGGUCACACUGCAUUCUCUAGGAAGUUUUCUUGAUUCUGGAACUUGCUGCAGGCUGCCAGAGUCCGUGCUUGUUAUAGUUCUGGGCAUUUCUCCCCCACUUCCAGAGGAGUGUGAUGAGGCCUGAGGUGUGGAGAAAUUAGUACAUUUGAUACAAUCAUACCUGAACCUUCAAGACCAGCUCAAUCAAAAUUUUUUUUAUGGUUCACACCUGAUGUCACUGAAGUCAGUGGCAAAACUCCCAGUGACCCUAAUUAGGCUGGGUCCCAUUGUGAAAUUAUUCCAGUACUUUCCACCAAUCAGAGUGAGUCAGCAGGAGCACAGGCGAGCAGCAGAAUAAGACUAGAUGAUUCAGCUGACAACACUUCCAGGGAAGUUUGCAGACAGUUUGCUCACACAGUAGAAUCUUUCUGGUUUGCAGGUAAUGCAGCUGAAUCAGGACUUUGGAGGAAAUAAUAAAUCUUAGAAUAAAAACUCAUGAACAUUCUAUCUAUGGUACUUCUACAUGGCCCACACUAUUGUAUAAUCUGAGCAACUCAAAAUCUUUAAUGUAUUUAUCCUCACAACACACCUGUGAGGUAGGGAAGUGCUAUUAUCACCAUUUUAUGGGUUGUACACUGAGGCCUGGAGAAACUAAAGGGUAGGUCCUGUUGUGCCAGACGAUCAGAAAUAAGGAGAAAACAGAAAAGGAUAAGACAGAAAACAACAAAUUCCAUUUCCACCAAAGGAAGUGUUUAGACUGAGGAAUUACACAGAACUUCCUACUUUAAGUAUUUGCAAGACAUCAACAGCCCUGUCUACAUGGGCAAAAAAGAUUCUUCUGUACUCCAUGAGUUGUGAAUGGUGUUACAGACGGUAGACGUCAAAAAAGGGAAGACGUUUGGAAAAACCCCGACAUUGUUGCCACAGGACUGCCCUUCAUUAUUUUCUGCAAUCUGAAAAUUAGUUAACGGGUAUCCAUCAUAGAAGUGCUUCUUAUACAAUUUGGGCUAGACUGUGCUGCUCUGAUGUUCGAGGCAGAGUAAAGGAUGCAAGGAGCUGGCUCCCUGACUUUCAUCUGAGUGCACAGAUGCACUUACAAUUGCCUGUUUCUUCUUUGAUGGGACUGCUUUUGUAAGCAAGAUUGACCCUAACAGCUGAUCCUGCAAUUCUUACCCAUGAGAGUAGACCCAGUGAGGUGAAUAGGACUACAGACCUGAAUGAGGGCUGCAGGGUUGGGUCCUGAGAUUUUAAUGGGCGUGAUUUCCCCAGAUAAUGACCAAAUGUUAUUUAAAAACUUUAAAACCGAAUGUAAUUGUUACUUUGUUUUUAAAACUAAACAGAAUUGUUGACUGUAGAGAUAACUUUCUUACAUAAGAAUGAAGACAGUAUGUUGGAUAAGAUCUGGUUUACAAUUUACAAAAUCAUACAGAGACAACUUCCCAGGUCCUUCACCUUUUACUCAGGUGGACUCCCUUGGAUUUCAGUGGACAUAGUUUAAACUAACUGAGUCCAAACAAAAUUGAAUGAAACUAGACAAAUACAAAUCAUUUACAGAUAUUGUGUAUGGAGUAAAUAUAAUGCACAGAUGUAUUGGUGGUUAUUCAAAGUUUUAAAAAAUGUGUAAACCUGUUUUACGUGGUUUCUAAACAAAAUAAGCCACCUCUGAGCUCAGUUAAAUGAAGUCAAUGGAAUCACAUUUGGCUAGAAUGUGGCCAAAUAACUUUAGUGUGCUGUGUUAUUUGUAUGUAACUAAAGAAUAAUUAUGAACAGUUAAGUGACUGGUUAUUAUAAGUCUGUGCAUGAGAUUUUGAUUGAUAAGGCCUAGUCUCAUAAUCAGCUGGGUCCUGGGUAAAUAGACUGAUGAGGAAGAAAGUCUGGAAGCUUCUGGGAGACAGAGAAUCCUGUAGGAAGUGCAACAGGAGUGCUAAUCUCAGGAGGUGAAAAGUUUGUAAGAAUGGGUACCCAGUUGAUUUAAUACUGUAGGACGGGACCCAGGAUGGUAAAGUGGAGAUAAAAGCCAGAAAGGGAAUGGGAAGAUUAGUGAUUUAUAUGAUUAAAUAAGUUAAGUGAAUCUUGAACAGUGAUGAACUGAAUUAUUCAAAUAAAUUUGGCAUAUUGAUCUUAUGGGAUUUAUCUAUGGGAAUCUACAUAAAAAGAAGU